UGGGGAAUAUUGCACAAUGGGCGAAAGCCUGAUGCAGCAACGCCGCGUGAGGGAUGACGGCCUUCGGGUUGUAAACCUCUUUUAGCAGGGAAGAAGCGAGAGUGACGGUACCUGCAGAAAAAGCGCCGGCUAACUACGUGCCAGCAGCCGCGGUAAUACGUAGGGCGCAAGCGUUAUCCGGAAUUAUUGGGCGUAAAGAGCUCGUAGGCGGUUUGUCGCGUCUGCUGUGAAAUCCCGAGGCUCAACCUCGGGCCUGCAGUGGGUACGGGCAGACUGGAGUGCGGUAGGGGAGAUGGGAAUUCCUGGUGUGGCGGUGAAAUGCGCAGAUAUCAGGAGGAACACCGAUGGCGAAGGCAGAUCUCUGGGCCGUAACUGACGCUGAGGAGCGAAAGGGUGGGGAGCAAACAGG
rnacentral:rRNA from 1 species